CCGUCCGAGGAGCCGGCGUACGCCACGCGGGCCUGCGCGCACACCGCGAUGGCGGUGACGGCGCCGUCGCCCUCCCGCAGCACGCGCUCCAUGACGUGCCGCGUGGCCCGGCCCUUGCCCUCGGCCGCGCGCCGCCGCCACGCCUUGACCGUGCCGUCGGCGGAGCCCGUGAGCACGAGCGCGUCGAAGCCCGCGGCGGCGACGGCGUUGACGGCGUCGCCGUGGGCGCGCACCACGGACUCGAGGCACCGGAAGUCGGACACGCGCCACACCUUGAAGGUGCGGUCCCAGGAGGCCGAGUAGAUGAGCCCCGCCGCGGCGUCCAGGCUGAGCGCCGACACGGCGUCGGAGUGCCGCAGCAUGGGCUGCGACGGGCGGAGGAGGGAGCUGCGGAGCACGUCGCGGAGCCGGGGCAGCGUCCCCACGCGGCGGAGCGCGGAGGGGUCCUCGACGACCUCGUCCGCCGAUUGCGGCGCGCGCCACACGCGCACCUUCCCGUCCUGGUGCCCCGUGUAGACGCGGCCGUCCCCGCCCACCACGAUGGCCUUCACCAGGCCGCUGCCCGAGCGGAAGCCGCCCAGCUCGCGGCGGUCCCGCUCCCGCCACACCCGCACGGUCCGCGAGUCCGUGCCCGUGUACAGCAGGUCCCCCGCCGCCGCCAGCGAGUAGACGUGGCCCCCGUCCUCCUUGACGAGCGAGCCGAGGAGCUCGGUCGCCUCCGCCGCGGGACCGGGGCCGAGCCCCGGGAGAUGCGUCCACGGGGACGAGGCGUACGGCGACGCCGCCGCGCUCGCGCUCGUGGUCGGAGUCACCGGCGUGGAACCCGACGUGCCGUCGUCCUCGUCGUCCGACGUCGUGGACGACCUCGCCGGCGCUGCUGCCACCGCCGGGUCUGGCCGCAGGAACUGGAGAAGCUUCUUGUGAUUCCCCAUGGCGGUUUAGCAGCUAGCUAAUCGUCCGAUCGAAUCGCAGAGGUAACUGUGGCGAUCGGAGGAGACGACGGGCAAGGAAGAGGAGAAGCGAAUGGUGCAGGAGACGACGCGAAGCGAACGCGAUGGAGCAGCCGUUGUGUGGUGUCGUGUUAUCACGGUUCUUAUGAUGAAUGAAU
rnacentral:misc_RNA from 1 species